AUUGAACGCUGGCGGCAGGCCUAACACAUGCAAGUCGAGCGGAUGAAGGGUGCUUGCUCCUGGAUUCAGCGGCGGACGGGUGAGUAAUGCCUAGGAAUCUGCCUGGUUGCGUGGGCUAACGUCCGGAAACGGGCGCUAAUACCGCAUACGCGCUGAGGGCGAACGUGGGGGAUCUUCGGACCUCACGCUCUCAGAUGAGCCUAAGUCGGAUUAGCUAGUUGGUGGGGUGAAGGCCUACCAAGGCGACGAGCCGUAAAUGGUUUGGGGGGCUGAUCAGGCACACUGGAACUGGGGAACGGUCCAGACUCCUACGGGAGGCAGCAGUGGGGAAUAUUGGACAAUGGGCGGAAGCCUGAUCCAGCCAUGCCGCGUGUGUGAAAAAGGGCUUCGGAUUGUUAAGCACUUUAAGUUGGGAAGAAAGGCAGUAAGUUAAUACCUUGCUGGUUUGACGUUACCAACAGAAUAAGCACCGGCUAACUUCGUG
rnacentral:rRNA from 1 species